AACGCACCUUGCACCCUUUGGUCUUCCACAGGGUAUGCCUGUUUGAGUGUCAUUGAAACCUCACAUCUAAUAACUUUUUUGUUAUCAGAAGGUGGACUUGGAUGUUGUAGUUUUAUUACUACUCGUCUCAAAUGCAUUAGUAGUGCUGUGUGUAACUAUUAGCCUUGUGUGAUAAGUAUCUUCACUAGGUUGUUGCGCAUGACCUGCUCAUAACCGUCCCUUUUUGGGACAAAUCAAUGUCAAAUUUGGCCUCAAAUCAGGUAGGACUACCCGCUGAACUUAA
rnacentral:misc_RNA from 1 species